CAGUCGUACCUGCGGAUAAUCAGCCUUUCGGGUGCGAUUCUGUGGGGCGUGAGGAGCUUAACCGCCUUCAUGUAUUGCAUAUUUGUGCUCCUGGGUGUACUUGUCUGUGUGGUAGGUUAACAUCAAUUUCGGUCGUCAUAAAAUGAUUGGAGGAAUGUAGCUUUGGUCUCGUAUCGAAGUGUUAUAGACUCUGGUAGAUGUGACGAUCGGGAUUGGAGGAUUGCAACGGAUACCCUUCGGGGCUACUCGUCUGAUCUCUGAAGGUUGCUCCGGUGCCGAAAGCGUGCUUACGGUCAUCGAAAGUGUAUUUUAC
rnacentral:rRNA from 1 species